GAAAUGCGAUAAGUAAUGUGAAUUGUAGAAUUCAGUGAAUCAUCGAAUCUUUGAACGCACAUUGCGCCCGCCGGCACUCCGGCGGGCAUGCCUGUCCGAGCGUCAUUUCAACCCUCAGGACCCCCUUUCGGGGCGGGACCUGGUGCUGGGGAUCAGCGGCCUCCGGGCCCCUGUCCCCCAAAUGAAGUGGCGGUCGCGCCGCAGCCUCCCCUGCGUAGUAGCACAACCUCGCACCGGAGAGCGGCACGGCCACGCCUUGAAACCCCCAUAUUUCUAAGGUUGACCUCGGAUCAGGUAGGAAUACCCGCUGAACUUAA
rnacentral:misc_RNA from 1 species